GAAAUGCGAUAAGUAAUGUGAAUUGCAGAAUUCAGUGAAUCAUCGAAUCUUUGAACGCACAUUGCGCCCGCCAGUAUUCUGGCGGGCAUGCCUGUUCGAGCGUCAUUUCAACCCUCAAGCCCCCGCGGUUUGGUGUUGGGGGCCGGCGAUUGUCAGCCGGGCCGCUCAGGCGGUUCCCUGCGGCGCCGCCCCCGAAAUGAAUUGGCGGCCCCGUCGCGGCCUCCUCUGCGUAGUAGCACAACCUCGCAACAGGAGCGCGGCGCGGCCACUGCCGUAAAACGCACAAACUUCUCCAAGAGUUGACCUCGAAUCAGGUAGGAAUACCCGCUGAACUUAA
rnacentral:misc_RNA from 1 species